rnacentral:misc_RNA from 1 species
AAGGUGUACGUGGGUUCAUUAAGAGGGCUUCCUUUUUGUUCACUAAGGCUUUCCAUCUCCAUGAAAUAGGAACAAAGAUCAUAUAUAUCCGAGCAAAGAUUGGGGAUAUAUCUACAAGUAUGCAGACUUACGGCAUCAAACUUGUUGAGGGAGAGGGUUCAAAUUUUGGGAGACAACAACAAUCCAGAAGAUCGUAUCAACAUGCUGAGGAAGAGUAUGUCAU